AACGAACGCUGGCGGCAGGCUUAACACAUGCAAGUCGAGCGCCCCGCAAGGGGAGCGGCAGACGGGUGAGUAACGCGUGGGAAUCUACCCAGCUCUACGGAAUAACCCAGGGAAACUUGGACUAAUACCGUAUACGCCCCUCGGGGGAAAGAUUUAUCGGAGUUGGAUGAGCCCGCGUUGGAUUAGCUAGUUGGUGGGGUAAUGGCCUACCAAGGCGACGGUCCAUAGCUGGUCUGAGAGGAUGAUCAGCCUCACUGGGACUGAGACACGGCCCAGACUCCUACGGGAGGCAGCAGUGGGGAAUAUUGGACAAUGGGCGAAAGCCUGAUCCAGCCAUGCCGCGUGAGUGAUGAAGGCCCUAGGGUUGUAAAGCUCUUUCACCGGUGAAGAUAAUGACGGUAACCGGAGAAGAAGCCCCGGCUAACUUCGUGCCAGCCGCCGCCGUAACAC
rnacentral:rRNA from 1 species